CAAGGUGCAAAACUAAUUGAAUAUAUCACCAAAAUAAACAAUCGUACCAUACCAAUGUAAGUUUAUGUCACAUAUUACAUUAAAAUCAUUAUUAAUUCGUAUAUUAGCAACUUAAAGCUAAGGAUCAGAUAAAGUAGUAGACAAAUAGUGGUUGCUUAGUUUGUGCUGAGCUGUUUUCUCGUGGAUGAGAAACUGAUAGCAUCGAUCCCACAUCAUGUCGUAUUUUUCUUAUCAGAAAAUUCUAUUUUUUAUUAAGGAAGAAAACAUUUUGAAAGAGAAUCAGCCAAAAGCAUUGCCAGUUUUGAAAGACGUCUUAGAGUUUUGUGUGUUUCUCUCUAAACAUAAAAAUUUAUAGGAUAAGAAAAUCACAGGUUCACAGCUCAAGCAAUGGAAGACCCACAAGUGACGUAUACUGUGGGAAGAAAACAAUGGCACAUCUUAAAUUAUAUUGGCAUUUUAUAUAGUGGUCCAGCCUACAUGAUAAUCCUCUCACUGUUGCUUUUGUUAGGAGGUGGGUUGGAUCUUAUCUUUAGAAAACAACUCUCAAUGACAAUGAUAUUAUCACAUCAUGAUAAUCCCAUUACCAGGAUAAUAAAGUAGUUGCCAGUUUUAUCUGAACAUAGUGCGCUCUAAUCAACAAAUCAAAGCAAAUCAACUUUUAUUAACCUAGUCAGGAGGAGAUCUAUGAAUCAUGCAUAAAGAUACUCUCAACUUGACUACCUCCCAGAUAAGGAAGACGUCUCUCUGCCAAUAUCCUGAUUCUGACAAUCUUACCUCUUUUAUUAGUUGAUUCCCCAACGUAAUAUUAUUUUGCUCGAUUUGUUACUUGAACUUUUAAAUUCAUGUUGUGAUGUACUCCACUCAUCAGCCAGCUGUCCUUUUCUCAAGCAAACCUUUACUUCCUUCCCAUAAUCACCCUCGAUCGCUUCAGGUAUUUUCAUUAAUUACCAUCCUAAUCUCCCUUUUUGAGCUGUUUAGGUGAUAAACUGAUUUUGUCCUUGAUUUCUUCCAAUAUUUUUAUUUUUUCGAGCUCCAAAAUCACCAUUACUGAGGAAUCUCCUUACCAAAUGUUAGAUCUCUGAUUCAAAAACUCGUAUCCCAAAAUCCAAGUAUUUAAUUCGUCAUUAUUAAUUUGCUCCAAAUCUUCUAUUCAACUUCUCCUCCUUUCACAUAGGGUCAAACGUUGAUUUUAUUUCUAACAGUCCGAUUUUUUUUUUAAGUCGAUAAACACCAAUGUUGAAUGUGACGGUUUCCCUAAGUAUCCUACCACAUCCUGCGAACCUGUAAAAACAACAACA
rnacentral:lncRNA from 1 species